AGGAGGUGGGGAGACCAUCCUGCAGGCCAGAGCCACUGCCAUCCCCAUCAUAUAUUCUGUUGACAGCCUGCUUCAAGCCUGAGGGCUCUCUCUCGACCCUGAAGAAGCCUUGAGUCAGAUCUGGAUAGUUCUGUUGGUCUGUUGUUGAACCUCAACCUGUUAACAGGUUCAGUGGCACUUUGAUAUGAAUUGGAGCCAGGGAAAUGUUAUAUUGAAAUCUGUUUAUUUCUUUUCUAUGAUGAUAAAAGAUGAACAGUGCAUAAAGCUUUGUUCCCUCUCUAGUGCAGGAGGUUAACAACAAACUCAAUUUCACCCGAGAUCAGCCAAGAAGAAGCGGAUUUUUUCCUUUGAAGCCUAAACAUUGAUCAUGAAAUAAAUGAUACUAUUACUUUCUUCAGGUGCAUGGAGGGAGUCUUUGUAGCCACAACGUAAGAGAUGUCCUAUUUUUUCUUGGUUAUUUCAUGUUGUACAAAGCAACUACUCCUAUUUAUAACGCGUGAAAUAUUAUAGCCACUGGAGUUUUCUGCCUGGCUGAUUCUGCAUUAAUUUACAAUGAACAUUAGUCUUGUGAUUUAUGGACUGCCAGAUUCCCUGAGUAAAAUAACUUCCUUGAAGAAAGCUUCUCACCCACAGGAUGGCUCAGACAGACAGUUUCACUUGUCUCUGCCAGCUCCAGCCUGGGAUCUUGAAAGAAGAAAAGGGGCAGGCAGGAUGUGGCAGGUGAAACAGCAAUUUUUGCACAGCAGACGGCAUUUGCUUUGGGUAAAAAGUCUAGCAUGGGCUCACCCUUCUGUCUUGUUACUUCCAGGUGCCUCCCUUGGAUGCAUGGGGUCUGUCCAGCCCCAAAGAGAAACUACAGGUACUGGAAACACAGGAGCUCAAGUAAAGCAAGAGUUCUGUGAGGAAGCUCCUUGGGUCAUCGGCUGUGGAGCUGACACGCCUGUGCAGGUGGGAAAGGGAGAGCUGGGCAGGUGAGUGAUCAACUCCACUUGGCCAAACCCCUGCAAUGGAAAAUGAAGAAGAUCUGGCAUCCGUUUGCCAACAUAAUGAGAAAUAAAGGGCUGGGCCCAACUUUUCCAGAAGGAAAAAGUAUCCAGUUUGCAUAAGAAAAACAGAUCUAUGUCUAAACCAAGUAUCUCCCCAAAGAGAAGGUCUGGAUUUAUUCAACCAUUCCCAAAAGGCAGAACAGCUGGUCACACAGGUAUGCAGCAGUCCCUAAACCUGAUCUCUGCUGAGGUCAGCAGUCAACAGGGUGGGGUCAAGGCUUUCUGGUGGUAUCUUUCUAGUGGUAUUGGGUAAAUAUAUCUCCAUAUGAUGACUAGUGACCAACAGACAAUAACCAAGUGUAUAUUUUUAUUGACUAAUUAAUUAAUUACAUGGCUCUCACUUAGAGGAGCUCUCAGGCUGAGUAUGUGAGCAGGCUGGCAUGUACAUUUGAGCUGGCUGAGGUUUGCACUGUGGCAGCUGCAGCAGCAUGCUGAUGCCUGCGUUGCUUUCCUCACACCCUGCACGUACCUUCUCCCAAUCCAAGUACUUUGACAUUCCAGCGUGCUGCCUCAAAGCCAACCAAGCUGACAGUGUUGACAAGAUGGUUGUGUUUGACCCCACUGGCUGCAGGACAUGCACCACCCCAGUCUCUCCUCAAUCUGCCCCCCAUCACUGUGAUAGUGAAGCACUGAUUAAUGACCCCAGUGGAAGUGUGGGACCUUGUGUGGUGUGGAACUGAAUGCUUCGGAGAGCCCCUGGGUUUCUGAGCUGAGGCAAUGCUGAAGGUGGUUUUCUGCUGCCCUUGGACCCUUUGAUAAACAAAAAUGUUGUUCUUUGAGUCUCUUGAGUGGGAUGUCUGUGUGUACAUAUGCAAAUAAGUUGAUAAGAACUAAUAAUCAGCCACUUUUUGACUUUAGCAAUAAAGGAGAGUAUGUGCAUUGCAUGUGAGGCUGGUACCUGCUGAGACAACUCUCUUGGUUUUUGUAUUUCUUAGGAAUUUUUGAUGUCUCCUGCUGAUAGCGUUAAAAAAUCAGAAGGGAAUUGCACAGGCAGUGCUGCCAGACAUACAAAUGGAGAUGUUACUUUGCAGGAAAAAUGUGUGAUGCUGGGGUACAUUUGCACAUUCUGUCAGUCAUU